GAAAUAUUUUAACUACAACAAAACUAGACCAAGAUGAUCUCCCAGAAAAUGAGCAUCACACUGUGAAUUCUAUUUAUCUACAUAUAUGUACAUAUAUGUAUGUGUGUGUGUGUGUGUGUAUAUAUAUAUAUAUAUAUAUACACACACAUAUGUGUGUCCCAGUCGGUUUUCUAUUUAAUUCUUGCUGUAUUCUUCUUCCAAAAGAUACAAGAACAUUUGGCUCUAUGACUUUUCUUUCUUAACAAUUACGCACAGUUCAGUGCUAAAGACAGUGUCCUGAAUUUUCUCUUUGCUUCUGUAGGGACUGAUGCAGAGCUGCAACCAGAUGCAUGCUUCCUACCUCUUUCAGCAAGAUAAGCACUAUGACCUGUCCUAUGACACGGGAGACAAGGCCUUGCAGUGUGGACGCCACGUCGAUGUCUUUAAAUUAUGGCUCAUGUGGAGAGCAAAGGGGACUACUGGAUUUGAAGCUCACAUUGAUAAGUGUUUGGAGCUGGCAGAGUAUUUAUACAAUAUCAUUAAAAACCGAGAAGGAUAUGAAAUGGUGUUCGAUGGGAAGCCUCAGCACACAA
rnacentral:lncRNA from 1 species